AGAAAAGAAAAUUCCUGGUGAGGAACAUACUCUACCAGUUCCUGCUCUGUAACUUAAGAGUUUUCUAGAGUUGCCUGAGACCCCAAAGGGGUAACAUUGUAUUGACUAUAUCAAGCCCAGGAGCACUGCAGUGUCCUAACUGAGAUCAACAACCACUCAAAAGAUAUUGGCCUAUCUACAUUGAAAAAACAAAACAUAUAAUGAAUACCUAUUAUUAUCCACUUUAUAUUAUGUAGUUGAAUGAAUAACACAUGAAUUUGGUCCAUCUAUAGAUAUACCCUGAAUAGAUAUUGUGUAUAACCAAGAGAUCAUUAUAUACGUCAACAACAAUACUGUAUGAAGAUGUAAUCUGAUGGAAAUGGAUUUCUUUGACAAACAGACCUAAUUCAGUUUCAACUGAUCAAUGAAGAACUUGGUCAGAUAUUCAUGAUGCCAAGGUCAUCGACUGCAUCCCAGGCUAUCACCAGUCAUCCUGACUAUUGUCUUGUCACUGGACUUAGAUGACUGUAGAAGAAGAAGUGAGGCUCAUGACUUUGUGCAACUCUGCCUCAAUUAAACGCAACUGAUGAACAAGUCAAGACAUCAUCACACCUUGAUGUCAUCAGUUCUCUUCAGAAAUGGAUGAAAAACAACAA